rnacentral:lncRNA from 1 species
GUUUGCUAUCUCAAAUAAUGAAGAUCUUAUUAUUGUUGUAUCAUUCAUUUAAAUGCCCACAUACGAUGAAAAAAGGGGGUGCUUUAUGUUUUCUGUUCUGUGUUUCAGUUUAUUUGUCCGUCGGGUAUCAUGUUUAGUUUUAAGCAGCUAAUCAUGAAGCACAGUUGUUUAUUAUAAUGUAAACUUUUCAGAUGAUAUAGCAGAUGACGGUUUUGAUUCCGAUUACAUGGUUCACUGAACAAAGAACUGUGAUAGUUUGAAGUUCUCAGAUUAAACGUGAAACAUAGUACAGAUGACAAAUUGCAACUAAGAGCUGAUUCACGAUUCACUGAACAUGUACAUAGGACAGAGUUACAGAGACGGAUUUAGGAGGGGAUGAUGGGGUAGCCUGGGCCCCCCUUUUGGGAGAAAAUUUUGGUUGCUUUAAUAGGAAAUCACUGAAUCAUGACGGUGGGCCAGGUGAGCCAAAAAUUGUAAAAAUCAUCAUUUAAAGGCAAGAACUCCUAUAAGGGGUCAUUUGGUGAUUUCCAUCAAGUUGACUUAUUAGUAAAUCUUAUUGUUCUGGUCAUUUUUACCUUCAAAAUUUAUCUCUAUCUGUUAUAUUUUUCAAAAAACUGUGAAAUAUGCAAAUAUGCUAUUUCAGGGGCAAAAACUUAAAAUUAAAAAAUGUAGGUCAUCUUCAUAUCUGGCCAGAUUUCCUGAAAAUCACGAAAAUUGAUAAUUGAAAACAAUAAACUG